rnacentral:ncRNA from 1 species
GCUUUGGAGAAUCCCAUUAAAUUGGGUGCCGACGGUGUAAGGUGCAAAGACGCACUGAAUCUCUCAGGCAAAAGAACAGGGCU